GAAAUAAAGCUGAAAAAUAGACAAUGGCCUUCAGUGUCUGAAAAGGGAGACAGGAGUGUCAUGAGCACACAGAGAAGAGUCCCUUAGCCUUUACUUGGUGACAUUAAAUACAUUUUCUAAAGUGAUGGCUUCUAA
rnacentral:miRNA from 14 species